rnacentral:rRNA from 1 species
AUUGAACGCUGGCGGCAGGCCUAACACAUGCCAGUCGAGCGGAUGAAGGGAGCUUGCUCCUGGAUUCAGCGGCGGACGGGUGAGUAAUGCCUAGGAAUCUGCCUGGUAGUGGGGGAUAACGUCCGGAAACGGGCGCUAAUACCGCAUACGUCCUGAGGGAGAAAGUGGGGGAUCUUCGGACCUCACGCUAUCAGAUGAGCCUAGGUCGGAUUAGCUAGUUGGUGGGGUAAAGGCCUACCAAGGCGAGGAUCCGUAACUGGUCUGAGAGGAUGAUCAGUCACCCGAGAACUUAGACACGGUCCAUGGUCCUACGGUAGGCAGCAGUGGGGAAUAUUGGACAAUGGGCGAAAGCCUGAUCCAGCCAUGCCGCGUGUGUGAAGAAGGUCUUCGGAUUGUAAAGCACUUUAAGUUGGGAGGAAGGGCAGUAAGUUAAUACCUUGCUGUUUUGACGUUACCAACAGAAUAAGCACCGGCUAACUUCGUG